AACUCCAUUGAGGUACUUUUUGAAGAAUCUGCAGCAAUAAAUAUUCGUUGCCCGAAAUUGGUUAAUAGGUUUAUUAUUGUCGAUAGUACCGGAGCUACUAGCACUGUAGUAGCGACCACACUAGACGCUAAAGAAAUUUGCUCCAACAUUAAAAGUUGCAUGGUUAACUUUAAAAAUUUAAAAAAUGCUGUACAUCAUGAAAAAUACAUUCAACAGAAAAUCAAUGUGAAUGCAUAUCUUUAGUCCAUAUAAAUAAACAUGUUUACAUCAUACGAAAGUUUUGGGAUUGCACUGAAACAUAUGUAUUAAUAAAUAUAAAAAGGAUAAUACAUUU